rnacentral:misc_RNA from 1 species
UCCGGUUUAUCACCGGCAGUCUCCAUAGAGUUCUCGGCACUACCCGUUAGUAACUAUGGACAAGGGUUGCGCUCGUUGCGCCACUUAAGGCAACAUCUCACGACACGAGCUGACGACAGCCAUGCAGCACCUGUCUCCGGUCCAGCCGAACUGAAGGACUCCAUCUCUGGUGUCCGCGACCGGGAUGUCAAAGGCUGGUAAGGUUCUGCGCGUUGCUUCGAAUUGAACCACAUGCUCCACCGCUUGUGAGGGCCCCCGUCAAUUCCUUUGAGUUUUAAUCUUGCGACCGUACUCCCCAGGCGGGAUGCUUAAUGCGUUAGCUGCGCCACUGAAAGGCAAGCCUUCCAACGGCUAGCAUCCAUCGUUUACGGCGUGGACUAC